UCAGACGAUGCGUCAUGCAUAUCAAUAAGCGGAGGAAAAGAAACUAACAAGGAUUCCCUUAGUAACGGCGAGUGAAGCGGGAAGAGCUCAAAUUUGAAAUCUUCAAGGUUUUACCUUGACGAAUUGUAGUUUAAAGAAGUGUUUUCUGUUGAAGUUUUGGUAAAAGUCCUUUGGAAUAGGACAUCAUAGAGGGUGAGAAUCCCGUAUUUGACCAUUAUUUUCAGCUGUGUGAUACACUUUCAAAGAGUCGGAUUGUUUGGGAAUGCAGUCCAAAAUGGGUGGUAAAUUUCAUCUAAAGCUAAAUAUUGGCGAGAGACCGAUAGCGAACAAGUACCGUGAGGGAAAGAUGAAAAGAACUUUGAAAAGAGAGUUAAACAGUACGUGAAAUUGUCAAAAGGGAAGCGUUUGACACCAGUGUUGUUUUCUCGAAAAUCAAUUAAAAAGAGUUGGAUUUUGUGUUGUAUUGACCUUAACAGCUUGCUUCACUCUUUUCCUGCUUUUUUUAAUGCACUUUUCGUUUAACAAGUCAACAUCAGUUUCUUUUGUUGCUAAAAGGGUCAUUGGAAGGUGGCUUUCUCUUCGGAGAAAGUGUUUAUAGCCUUUGAUCUCUGCAAUCGGAGAGACUGAGGUCUGCAGCGUAGAUCCUUCGGGGUUAGAUACAUUUGUGCUAAGCUACAGCUUUUCAUAGACAACUUGUUGACUAUGUUUAGUCUUGUAACUUACCCGCUUAUGCUAUUUUACCUACGCUUAGGAUGUUGAUAUGCAUGACUGAUAU
rnacentral:rRNA from 1 species